GAAUCCCGUCUUUGACACGGACUGCCUGCAUGUUAUGGUGCGCUCUCAAAGAGUCGAGUUGUUUGGGAAUGCAGCUCAAAAUGGGUGGUAAAUGCCAUCUAAAGCUAAAUAUUGGCGAGAGACCGAUAGCGAACAAGUACCGUGAGGGAAAGAUGAAAAGAACUUUGGAAAGAGAGUUAAACAGUACGUGAAAUUGCUGAAAGGGAAACGCUUGAAGUCAGUCGCGUCGGCUAGAAAUCAACCUUGCUUUUGCUUGGUGUAUUUUCUUGUUGAUGGGUCAGCAUCAAUUUUGACCGUUGGACAAAGUCAUUGGGAAUGUGGCAUCUUAGGAUGUGUUAUAGCCCAUUGUCGCAUACAGCGGUUGGGAUUGAGGAACUCAGCACGCCCGCAAGGGACGGGUUUCGACCACGUUCGUGCUUAGGAUGCUGGCAUAAUGGCUUUAAUCGACCCGUCUUGAAACACGGACCAAGGAGUCUAACAUGCCUGCGAGUGUUCGGGUGGAAAACUCGUGCGCGCAAUGAAAGUGAAAGUUGGGACCUCUGUCGUGGAGGGCACCGACGCCCGGACCAGACCUUCUGUGACGGCUCUGCGGUAAAGCAUGUAUGUUAGGACCCGAAAGAUGGUGAACUAUGCCUGAAUAGGGUGAAGCCAGAGGAAACUCUGGUGGAGGCUCGUAGCGAUUCUGACGUGCAAAUCGAUCGUCAAAUUUGGGUAUAGGGGCGAAAGACUAAUCGAACCAUCUAGUAGCUGGUUCCUGCC
rnacentral:rRNA from 1 species